CAGCAGCCGCGGGAAUACCGAGGGUGCAAGCGUUAAUCGGAAUUACUGGGCGUAAAGCGCGCGUAGGUGGUUUGUUAAGUUGGAUGUGAAAUCCCCGGGCUCAACCUGGGAACUGCAUCCAAAACUGGCAGGCUAGAGUAGGGCAGAGGGUGGUGGAAUUUCCUGUGUAGCGGUGAAAUGCGUAGAUAUAGGAAGGAACACCAGUGGCGAAGGCGACCACCUGGGCUCAUACUGACACUGAGGUGCGAAAGCGUGGGGAGCAAGCAGGAUUAGAUACCCCUGUAGUCCCUGUCUCUUAUAC
rnacentral:rRNA from 1 species